GACGAACGCUGGCGGCGUGCUUAACACAUGCAAGUCGAACGGAAAGGCCCUGCUUUUGUGGGGUGCUCGAGUGGCGAACGGGUGAGUAACACGUGAGUAACCUGCCCUUGACUUUGGGAUAACUUCAGGAAACUGGGGCUAAUACCGGAUAGGAGCUCCUGCUGCAUGGUGGGGUUGGAAAGUUUCGGCGGUUGGGGAUGGACUCGCGGCUUAUCAGCUUGUUGGUGGGGUAGUGGCUUACCAAGGCUUUGACGGGUAGCCGGCCUGAGAGGGUGACCGGCCACAUUGGGACUGAGAUACGGCCCAGACUCCUACGGGAGGCAGCAGGGGGGAAUAUUGCACAAUGGGCGGAAGCCUGAUGCAGCAACGCCGCGUGCGGGAUGACGGCCUUCGGGUUGUAAACCGCUUUCGCCUGUGACGAAGCGUGAGUGACGGUAAUGGGUAAAGAAGCACCGGCUAACUACGUG
rnacentral:rRNA from 1 species